rnacentral:rRNA from 1 species
GAGUUUGAUCUUGGCUCAGAACGAACGCUGGCGGCAGGCUUAACACAUGCAAGUCGAGCGCCCCGCAAGGGGAGCGGCAGACGGGUGAGUAACGCGUGGGAAUCUACCCAGCUCUACGGAAUAACCCAGGGAAACUUGGACUAAUACCGUAUACGUCCGAUAGGAGAAAGAUUUAUCGGAGUUGGAUGAGCCCGCGUUGGAUUAGCUAGUUGGUGGGGUAAUGGCCUACCAAGGCGACGAUCCAUAGCUGGUCUGAGAGGAUGAUCAGCCACACUGGGACUGAGACACGGCCCAGACUCCUACGGGAGGCAGCAGGUGGGGAAUAUUGGACAAUGGGCGCAAGCCUGAUCCAGCCAUGCCGCGUGAGUGAUGAAGGCCCUAGGGUUGUAAAGCUCUUUCACCGGUGAAGAUAAUGACGGUAACCGGAGAAGAAGCCCGGCUAACUUCGUGCCAGCAGCCGCCGU